AACAGAGAAUUCGCAGUCCGGGUCGCCGACUUCGGUCUUUUCUUUUCUUCUUCACCACCAAGACCAGACAUCACCGCAUAAACAAACAUGGCCGACACAGCAGCCGUCGCCAAGGGCGUCGAGAACCUCUCCGUCUCCGCCUCCAAGACCAAGGAGCUCAAGGGCACCGAAAAGAGAGACACCCUCAUCGAGAUCGAGAAGAGGUACCAGCAAAAAUGGGAGCAGGAGGGCGUCUUCGAGGUCGAUGCCCCCUCCACCGCCGAGUUCCCUCUCGACGCCAUUACCCCCGAUGAGCUGCGCCAAAAGCACCCCAAGUUCUUCGGCACCAUUGCCUACCCCUACAUGAACGGCCGCCUCCACGCCGGCCACGCCUUCAGCUUCUCCAAGAUCGAGUACCACACCGGCUUCGCCCGCAUGCAGGGCAAGCGCGCCCUCUU
rnacentral:precursor_RNA from 1 species